GUUGAACGCUGGCGGCAUGCCUUACACAUGCAAGUCGAACGGCAGCACGGGUGCUUGCACCUGGUGGCGAGUGGCGAACGGGUGAGUAAUACAUCGGAACAUGUCCUGUAGUGGGGGAUAGCCCGGCGAAAGCCGGCUUAAUACCGCAUACGAUCUACGGAUGAAAGCGGGGGACCUUCGGGCCUCGCGCUAUAGGGUUGGCCGACGGCUGAUUAGCUAGUUGGUGGGGUAAAGGCCUACCAAGGCGACGAUCAGUAGCUGGUCUGAGAGGACGACCAGCCACACUGGGACUGAGACACGGCCCAGACUCCUACGGGAGGCAGCAGUGGGGAAUUUUGGACAAUGGGAGAAAGCCUGAUCCAGCAAUGCCGCGUGUGUGAAGAAGGCCUUCGGGUUGUAAAGCACUUUUGUCCGGAAAGAAAUCCUUGGCUCUAAUACAGUCGGGGGAUGACGGUACCGGAAGAAUAAGCACCGGCUAACUACGUGCCAGCCGCCGCCGUAA
rnacentral:rRNA from 1 species